rnacentral:rRNA from 1 species
UACGUAGGUGGCAAGCGUUGUCCGGAAUUACUGGGUGUAAAGGGAGCGUAGACGGCGAGGUAAGCCUGAAGUGGAAGCCCGCGGCCCAACCGCGGAACUGCUUUGGGAACUGUUUUGCUGGAGUAUGGGAGGGGUAAGCGGAAUUCCUGGUGUAGCGGUGAAAUGCGUAGAUAUCAGGAGGAACACCGGUGGCGAAGGCGGCUUACUGGACCAUAACUGACGUUGAGGCUCGAAAGCGUGGGGAGCAAACAGG